rnacentral:miRNA from 1 species
AGCCACAAGUGCCCGGAAU